AGAUGUCAUAAUUUUAUAUUUGAAGAUAGUUUUUAUGCUCAGGAUGUCAUAAUUUUAAUUGAUAAUAUCAUAAUUUUGAUCUAAAAUAUCAUAAUUUUAUAUUUAAAAAUAUUUUUUAUAUCAAGAUGUAAUAAUUUUUAUAUAUAAUAUCAUAAUUUUGAACCAGAAUGAUAUUAUAGAUUAAAAUUAUGGCAUCCUGACAUAAAAAAUAUCUCUGAAUAUAGAAUUAUAAUAUUC
rnacentral:lncRNA from 1 species